GAUGAACGCUGGCGGCGUGCCUAAUACAUGCAAGUCGAGCGAACUGAUUAGAAGCUUGCUUCUAUGACGUUAGCGGCGGACGGGUGAGUAACACGUGGGCAACCUGCCUGUAAGACUGGGAUAACUUCGGGAAACCGAAGCUAAUACCGGAUAGAAUCUUCUCCUUCAUGGGAGAUGAUUGAAAGAUGGUUUCGGCUAUCACUUACAGAUGGGCCCGCGGUGCAUUAGCUAGUUGGUGAGGUAACGGCUCACCAAGGCAACGAUGCAUAGCCGACCUGAGAGGGUGAUCGGCCACACUGGGACUGAGCCACGGCCCAGACUCCUACGGGAGGCAGCAGUAGGGAAUCUUCCGCAAUGGACGAAAGUCUGACGGAGCAACGCCGCGUGAGUGAUGAAGGCUUUCGGGUCGUAAAACUCUGUUGUUAGGGAAGAACAAGUACGAGAGUAACUGCUCGUACCUUGACGGUACCUAACCAGAAAGCCACGGCUAACUACGUGCCAGCAGCCGCAGUAAUAC
rnacentral:rRNA from 1 species